AGAGUUUGAUCCUGGCUCAGGACGAACGCUGGCGGCGUGCCUAACACAUGCAAGUCGAACGAAGCUUGAUUUCUGAUUUUUUCGGAAUGACGAAUGAUAUGACUGAGUGGCGGACGGGUGAGUAACGCGUGAGCAACCUGCCCUUCGGAACGGGAUAGUGUCUGGAAACGGACAGUAAUACCGUAUAACAUAUAUCUCCUACGGGAGGCAGCAGUGGGGAAUAUUGCACAAUGGGGGAAACCCUGAUGCAGCAACGCCGCGUGAAGGAAGACGGUUUUCGGAUUGUAAACUUCUGUUCUUAGUGAAGAAUAAUGACGGUAGCUAAGGAGCAAGCCACGGCUAACUACGUGCCAGCAGCCGCGGUAAUACGUAGGUGGCAAGCGUUGUCCGGAAUUACUGGGUGUAAAGGGAGCGUAGGCGGGAUGCCAAGUCAGCUGUGAAAACUAUGGGCUUAACUUGUAGACUGCAGUUGAAACUGGUAUUCUUGAGUGAAGUAGAGGUUGGCGGAAUUCCGAGUGUAGCGGUGAAAUGCGUAGAUAUUCGGAGGAACACCGGUGGCGAAGGCGGCCAACUGGGCUUUAACUGACGCUGAGGCUCGAAAGUGUGGGGAGCAAACAGGAUUAGAUACCCUGGUAGUCCACACUGUAAACGAUGAUAACUAGGUGUGGGGGGUCUGACCCCUUCCGUGCCGCAGCUAACGCAAUAAGUUAUCCACCUGGGGAGUACGACCGCAAGGUUGAAACUCAAAGGAAUUGACGGGGACCCGCACAAGCAGUGGAUUAUGUGGUUUAAUUCGAAGCAACGCGAAGAACCUUACCAGCACUUGACAUCCGACUAACGAAGUAGAGAUACAUUAGGUGCCCUUCGGGGAAAGUCGAGACAGGUGGUGCAUGGUUGUCGUCAGCUCGUGUCGUGAGAUGUUGGGUUAAGUCCCGCAACGAGCGCAACCCCUGCCAUUAGUUGCUACGCAAGAGCACUCUAAUGGGACCGCUACCGACAAGGUGGAGGAAGGUGGGGACGACGUCAAAUCAUCAUGCCCCUUAUGUGCUGGGCUACACACGUAAUACAAUGGCCAUCAACAAAGAGAAGCAAUACCGCGAGGUGGAGCAAAACUAUAAAAAUGGUCUCAGUUCGGACUGCAGGCUGCAACCCGCCUGCACGAAGUUGGAAUUGCUAGUAAUCGUGGAUCAGCAUGCCACGGUGAAUACGUUCCCGGGUCUUGUACACACCGCCCGUCACACCAUGGGAGUUGGUAACACCCGAAGUCAGUAGUCUAACCGCAAGGAGGACGCUGCCGAAGGUGGGAUUGACGACUGGGGUGAAGUCGUAACAAGGUAGCCGUAUCAGAAGGUGCGGCUG
rnacentral:rRNA from 1 species